CUUUUGAACAAUCAAAAGAAGAUUGAUUUUGAAGAUUGAUUUUGACACUUUGGGGUGUCAAGGGGACCCGGGGGGGGGGGCACUAGGACAGGGUCGUCCUCAGUGAGAGGGCUGUGGCUGCCGGAUAGAGCAUGGUGGCGAGGAAGAGGAGCUCACCUCUCAGGGAGCCUUCCCCUCUCUCCUGGCCCCGACCUGAGCUCUGCUUCUUCUCUUUCUUCAUACUUCAGUCUUCAUCCCCUCCAGCUCUAUCUGUCAGCCUCUUUACAUGCCUUCUUUGCUCUCCCCCUCUCUCUCUCUCUUUCUAUCUUAAUCUCUCUGUCUCGCUGUCUUUUCCCUCUCUCUUUCCUUUGUCUCCAUCCCUCUCUCUCUCUCUCGCUCUUAAUCUCUUUCUCUCUCUCUCUCCCCCCUCUCUCUCUCUCCCUCUCUGUCUCUGAGGAGAUGAAUCAACAGAACAACAUGGCACCUGUGAGGACGGUUUCCAUAGCAGCCAGGGCUGAGGGUGCUCAUCCGUGGGGCCCCUGGGGGCCGUCUCCCCCCGGGGGCCCGGUCGCCGACACUAGUCCCUUGUUUUGUUUCCGUCUCCCUGUCUUUGUGCAAAGUCAUCCUAGCUCAGAGCAACGGGGGUCUGGGGGGGCCCAGGGCCCCGUAGUGACAAACACCCCACGCCCCGCCCCAGGGGCCCCCAGGGGCCAGGAGCGCUCUGAGGAGCGGCCGAACGACAUUCCGAACAACGAGAAGCACAACGAGGAGCGGGAGCGGGUCGGAGCGCUGGGAAGAGCUGUUCCUCAUUUAGCUCUUUUUCCUUUGAUGUCAUUUGAAGUAAAUGUUUGUCAAAUGUCUAAAGUCGUUUUUUUGUGAAUAUGAAAAAAAUAUAAUUGUACAAAAAAAAAUAAAAAAACUUAGAAAAAUGUACGGAAUUGUGAAACGCUUUCGCUUUCACGACAUAUUUUACGGAGCGAAGAGACGGAGGAAGCUAACGUUGCUAUUAGCAGCUUUGUGUGUGUUUGUUGAUGUUUCACCUGAUGGUCCUGACGUCAUGUGACCUUUGACCCCGACGACGCAACCCCUCCCAUCCGUCCAGGGUCAGGAAGCGGCCAUUCACAUGUCAUGUGACAACAGGUUCCAAAGGGAAUUUGAAAAGUGGGAAUGUUCUCACUGCAACGGAGAACCAGGAGAACCAGGAGAACUCCCAACCCCACCUCCCCCCCCCCCAAAGGACUGAUUAGCUUCUCUCUCUUUACCCGCGCUGAUUAAGAGAAGGAGAGACUUCCUGACACGUGACUCCGUUCAGCCAAUGGGAAUGCUGCCUUGCCGCUUUUCCGAGGCCAUUUCCACGCUGAACAGACACUCUGCUUAUCGAACCGCUAGCCUGGGAAUGCACUGUCGAUUGGGAAAUGAAGAUUAUGAUUAAAGUUUUAAAAAGAAAAAAA
ensembl:lncRNA